rnacentral:lncRNA from 1 species
GACUAACCCACAAAAUUACAAUUAUCUUAUAUUAGACAAAGGCAUCAAAAAACAUGCAAUGGAGAAAAGAGAGCUUCUUUAGCAAAUCGUGCUGGGAAAACUGGAAAUCCAUAUGCAACAAAAUGAAAUCAGACCCCUAUCUCUCACCAUGCACAAAGCUCAGUUCAAAAUUGAUCAAGGACUUAAGAAUAAAACCAGAGACCUUGCAUCUAAUAGAAGAAAACAGUAGGUCCUAAUCUCCAUCAUGAGGGAUUCUACCCUAACUUCCUUAAUAAGACCCCUAUACACAAGAAUUAAAAUCAACAAUCAAUAAAUGAGAUGGAUUCAAACUAAAAAGUUUCUUCUCAGCAAAAGAAACAAUCUCUGAGGUGAAUAGAGAACCUAUAUCUUGGGAGCAGAUCUUUACCCCUCACAUAUCAGAUAGAGCACUAAUCUCUAGGGUAUGUAAAGAACUCAAAAAGCUAAACAUCAAAAACAAAACAAAACAAACAAAACAACACAAAACAAAACAAAAAACCAAAUAACCCAACCAAUAAAUGGACCAAGGACCUGAACAGACACUUUUCAUAUAAGAUGAUAUGCAGUUAAUCAACAAAUGUUCAUCAUUGCUAGCAAUUAGAGAAAGACAAAUCAAAACUACUCUAAGAUUUCAUCUCAUGCCACUAAGAAUGGUACUAUUAUGAAGACAAACAACAAACAAUAAGUGUUGGUGAGGAUGUGGGGAAAAAGGUACACUCAUACACUGCUGGUGGGACUGCAAAUUGGUGCAGCCAAUAUGGAAAGCAGUAUGGAGAUUUCUUGGAAAAUUGGGAAUGGAACCAGCAUUUGACCCAGCUAUCCCUCUCCUUGGUCUAUACCCAAAGGACUUAAUUAAAAACAGCAUACUACAGGGACACAGCCACAUCCAUAUGUAUAGC